rnacentral:rRNA from 1 species
GAUGAACGCUGGCGGCGUGCCUAAUACAUGCAAGUCGAGCGAACGGACGAGAAGUUUGCUUCUCGGACGUUAGCGGCGGGCGGGUGUGAAACACGUGGAUAACCCCCCUAUAAUACUGGUAAAAUCACGGGAAUCCGUAGAUAAUACCGUAUGAUAUUCUGCACCGCAUGGUUCAAAAGUGAAAGUCGGUCUUGCUGUCUCUUAUAGAUGGAUCCGGGCUGCAUUGGCUAGUAGGUAAGGUAAAGGCUUAUCACGGCGACGAUGCAUAGCCGAGGUGAGAGGGGGAUAGGCCACAUUGGAACUGGGACACGCACCUGACUCCUACGGGAGGCAGCAGUAGCGAAUCUUCCGCAGUGGGCGAAAGCCUGACGGAGCGGCGCGGCGUGAGUGAUGAAGGUCUUCGGAUCGUAAUACUCUGUUAUUAGUGGAAAACAUAUUUGUAAGUAACUGAGCACAUCUUGACGGUACCUAAUCAGAAAGCCCCGGCUAACUACGUG